AUGCCAACCAGCCAGAGCUCCCAGGGACUAAACCACUACCCAAAGAGUAUACAUAGACUGACCCAUGGCUCCAGUUGCAUAUGUAGCAGAGGAUGGCCUUGUUGGGCACCAGAGGGAGAAGCCCUUGGUCCUGCCAAGGCUGGACCUCCCAGUUUAGGGGAAUGUCAGGGUCGGGAAGCAGGAAGGGGUGGGUGGUUGGGUGGAGGAAAGGGGAUAACCUUUGAAAUGUAAAUUAAAAAAAAAAAAA
rnacentral:lncRNA from 1 species